rnacentral:rRNA from 1 species
AUGCGGAGACCCCGCAGAGCAGCAGUAGGGGUGUUAUCUCCCCGGAGAGCCCCGAAGCUGGGUAAGAUUCGCCGGCGUGCAUGCCUUCGCCUAAUCCUGUUUCCUGGCACCGGCGACGUUCUACUCGCUCCCACCAUGAUAAGCCAUCCUUUGGCAUAUGUCGCACCCAACCCCCGACAUUUGGCGCCCAUCGUGGGGCGAGGUGCACCGUCGUCCGGAGACCUACUUUGGACGGGAACCCUUUUUCUCCCCCGCGAGCGUAGCCAGCCCGGCACGCCCGAUGGCGCUUGCCCCGACGCGCUGCAAAGCGUCGACGACGCCUGCGCGGCGAGCUGCCUCGCUGACCUUCUCGGCGAGGUUAGCAUCUCCGACGAGCCUGCAUCCGAUGCAGGCACGGGCGGCCCGGAAAGCCUCCUCGCGGGCCUCCUCGACCAUCUCCACGUCGCCGACGAGCCUGCCGUGGACUUGGAGUCCGUAGGCUCCACCAACCCGAUGCUGGUCGACUCCGACGGCGUGUCGCUCGACACGUUCCCCUCCAACGUGGUGAUCUACGACGAGCCGCUCCCUCGCGAGGCGAGCGGUGGAAGCGCCAUCACGGAAGUGCUCGUCAUCAGUCAUGGCGAGCGGUCCGGCGAAGGAGCUCAUGACCCGCUCGACGCGGUUCUGCGAGACCUAACGGCGCCCAUUCUGGAGGACGCUGACGCCGAGACGCUGGAGGCACGCCGCCUUCAGCUUGUCGAAGGCGCGAAGAAGCUGGCAAGCAUGAGACGCUUGUCGGAGGCCUACCAACGUGAGAUGGAUCGCGCUGUGGGCGGCUCGCCAGCGCCGACUGGGCCUAGCCGCCUAGGCGCGGUCCGACAACGCGGCGCGGCCGUCGCCAACCUGUUCGGGGCCGAUCGCCCUGUAUAUGCCACGCCUGCGGAGAACAUUCGUGCCGCUCAGGCGGCAGCAGACGAGCUAGACAACUUCGAAGGCGAAGAGCGCCGCCUAAUGACCGAGCGAGUCCAGCGACUCCUCAAAGCGGCUGCCGCACAGAACGAAGCCGGUUGCCGCACGGAGGCGCCGCAGCGACAAAAUGACGACUUACCUCCCGCUGAGAUCAAGGCGCGACGUCUCGGACGCCGACUGGUCGAGUCCGCGGAAGAAAGGAGAAGGAUCCGGCUGUCAGCCACAGUCGGACUCGCAUCACCAUCGAGCGCGACCAAGACGGCCGCCCAAGAGCAGUGGAGCGGCAGGGCGACUACCUGCCUCCCCCACCACGAAGGGAAAGACGAGUCUCCCCACCGCCUAUCGAUCAUCCGACUCUCGGCGACCGCCUCGGCCGUCGAGAGGGAGUUGAAGAGAACGACGCACGCCACCGGAUCGACCGACUCCACCGAUACCUGGCGCUGGAAGAAGAAGACGAGUUGGGUCCACCCUGCUUUGGGCCCCGCAUUCAAGAUGAGCCCUUCCCCAAAGGGUUCACGCUCCCCCGAAACACACCCAAGUACACCGGCUCCGUGA